rnacentral:rRNA from 1 species
GACAGAGGGUGCAAACGUUGUUCGGAAUUACUGGGCGUAAAGCGCGUGUAGGCGGCUAAGUAAGUCGGGCGUGAAAUCCCACGGCUCAACCGUGGAAGUGCACUCGAAACUGCAUAGCUAGAGUCCUGGAGAGGAAGGUGGAAUGCUUGGUGUAGAGGUGAAAUUCGUAGAUAUCAAGCGGAACACCAGUGGCGAAGGCGGCUAUCUGGACGGUUUCUGACGCUAAGACGCGAAAGCGUGGGGGAGCAAACAGG